GACGAACGCUGGCGGCGUGCCUAACACACGCAAGUCGAGCGGAGAUAUAUGGAAGGUUUACCGGAAAUAUAUCUUAGCAGCGGACGGGUGAGUAACGCGUGGGCAACCUGCCUCAUACAGGGGGAUAACACAGGGAAACUUGUGCUAAUACCGCAUGAAAUCAUAGUAUGGCAUCAUACAAUGAUCAAAGGAGCAAUCCGGUAUGAGAUGGGCCCGCGUCCGAUUAGCUAGUUGGUGAGGUAACGGCUCACCAAGGCGACGAUCGGUAGCCGAACUGAGAGGUUGAUCGGCCACAUUGGAACUGAGACACGGUCCAGACUCCUACGGGAGGCAGCAGUGGGGAAUAUUGCGCAAUGGGGGGAACCCUGACGCAGCAACGCCGCGUGGAGGAAGAAGGUCUUCGGAUUGUAAACUCCUGUCUUCUGGGACGAAUAAUGACGGUACCAGAGGAGGAAGCCACGGCUAACUACGUGCCAGCAGCCGCGGUAAACA
rnacentral:rRNA from 1 species